rnacentral:antisense_RNA from 1 species
CUUUUUUGUAAUAGGAGUGCAAAUCAAUCCACGACCAUGGGUGGCCAUAAAAUUAAUAGCUUCUGGAGUGACUCUAUCAGCGGCCAUAAU